UUGGCAUGAUAACACAUCCAAUUCAGUUCAGUUUGAUUUUGAAUUGAACUGUGAACUUUAUAUUGUCAGAAAGGCUCUACAAAAAAUAAAAGAACUCCACUGAUCACAGUCCCUUGUGCACAAACACUUGGUGAUGGUGGUGAGGAAGAUCUCACUUUUAACAGAAGAAACCUCCAGUGGAAUAAGGUGUGGGGAGGAGCAGCCAUCUGCCAUGAGUGGAUGUGUUGUGAGGGCAAAGAGAAGAUAAAGGAGGAACACAGAGAGGCCACCAAAAUAAUAUAACACAGGAAUUAGAAGUAGGAGAGGAUAGACAAGUUGAUGAUAUGCAGUACUGAUAUACAGAUGCAUGAGUAAUGAAAAGAGGAGACUGAAGGAUGCUUCAUGUGACUUAGAGAGACAGAGACGUCUGCUAACUUGAGUGCAGCUCCACCACCUCUCCCUCUUUCUUGGUGCAGCUUUGUGCGCCAUCAAAGGCCCUGAGCAAAGAGACAUGAGCCUUAAUUGUUGUGCUUUAUCAGGGGGAUAAAGGCGGGAUGGGCAGCAAUUUAGGCGGCCUUUAUGAGACUACAAAGUGUGACAGACUGACGGAGAGAUAAUUGGCAGUGAGGGGAAAGGAGGAUGGGAUGAAAGAGGAGAAUGAUGGAGAGAUGAGGAGGAAAGGGGACGCGGAUGGAAGCAUGUUUGAUCAACAGAGAGGAACAGUGGACGGUGAAGUGAAACUCAGCCGUCGGAAUUUCCAAAGGAUGCUUCCAGAUCAUCAAAUGAAAGAGCCAUCCUUCAGCACAACAGGCCCAGAUGCCAGAAGGACCCUAAUGAGAUUAGGCUGCGGACAGCUGUUGCCAAGUUGCCUCCUCCUACUCAGGCCCUCUGCUAACCAGCUGCCUCGCAGAGCUCUGCAAAGCAUGGAGGUGGGAAAAUUGACAGCAGGUUUGAUGGAUGACCUCCAGUCAACACUCCCUCUCCAUCUCCUCCUCUAUCCAUCCUUCCUUCUCCUCCUCUCUCCGUCCCUCUCCUCUAGCUCCCCUUAUCCCUUACAUGCAUAACACAGCCUCCCCUGGGCAGGCUCGGACAGGGGGCUGGUCUGGGAGGCCAGACCCAGAAACAAAGCACUCUGUACCAUUCAAAUGCCCUCCCCCAGGGCCCCCGUCCUCCAGAGAAAGUGCUCUCUGCUGAGCUGGGGCUGUUAAUAAGCUGCUAAUGAGGAAACAGACCUCUAUUCCCUGCUAACAUCAAGACAGAUGGACACACACGACAUGUUUGUUUUAAACUUCCUAUUGAUAUGAUGGAUUAGAGGCGAAAAGGCUCUGAUUGGUCCUCGUAGCUCCAUUUGGAGCCAAAUGACUGGCAGUAAUUUAUAUGCUAUAACAAAGAUUUUAUUACAAAUUAGUCGGCUAUUACAAAAUUGUCAGCUUGUUGUUAGUAACUGCUGUCACAUUUUCUGUUUUUGCUUUUUUCUUUUAUGGCACAAACAAGAACUCUGACUCUUUAUAGACAAACUGAUAAAAUACUUUUAUUAAUAUCUUUUUCCUUUUUAUCUGCCAAUAUUUAUAAAAAUAAAAGUGCACCAGCAUCUAAGAAUAUAGUAAAGGUACAAUGGGUAGAAAGCAAUGUAGCAGAGGGAGCCACUAGUGCUUAGAAAUAUAUUAAGAUUACUAUAAAUAAGAUUACUUUUAUUAUGAUGUACAUGUUCAUGUUUUAAUACUGAGGUAUAACAGUGUAAAAGGUGCACUCAGUCACUGCUUUGGUGUAGAAAUUAUCCAACAAUCAGUUUGCAUGAUAAUCAGGUGGAUAAGCUGAGCAGCUGAUGCUAUUUUUCUCACUCACUGUGCAUGAGUGGCAGGAGAACAUCAUAAACAUGAACUGCAGUAAGA